GAUGAACGCUAGCUACAGGCUUAACACAUGCAAGUCGAGGGGCAGCAUGAACAUAGCUUGCUAUGUUUGAUGGCGACCGGCGCACGGGUGCGUAACACGUCUCCAAUCUACCCAUGGCUCGGGGAUAGCCUUUCGAAAGAAAGAUUAAUACCCGACGGUCUCGGUCUAACGCAUCUUAGACUGAGUAAAGAUUUAUCGGCGAUGGAUGAGGAUGCGUCUGAUUCGGUAGAUGGCGGGGUAACGGACCACCAUGCCUACGAUCAGUAGGGGUUCUGAGAGGAAGGUCCCCCACAUUGGAACUGAGACACGGUCCAAACUCCUACGGGAGGCAGCAGUGAGGAAUAUUGGUCAAUGGACGAGAGUCUGAACCAGCCAUGUAGCGUGAAGGAUGACUGCCCUAUGGGUUGUAAACUUCUUUUGUUUGGGAAUAAAGUGCGGGACGUGUCCCGUUUUGUAUGUACCAUUCGAAUAAGCAUCGGCUAAUUUCGUGCCAGCAGCCGCAGUAACAC
rnacentral:rRNA from 1 species